UAGAUUGGUAGUAACUUAAGGGUUGUUAAAUUUAAAGAAUGUGGCGGUAUUUUAAGCUUUUUAGAGGAAUUUAUUCUUUAAUUGAUAUGACUCAUAAAUCUUUCUUGAUUUUGUUAAGCAGCUUGUAUAUCGCUAUCAUAUUAUAAUGUUGUUAGGAAAUUGUAAAGAUAAAAUUUUAUUUAAAAUGUUAGGUCAAAAUGCAGCAUAAGGUUAAGUUUGAAAUAAAUUACGGUAAUUUUUAUUGGGUUUUAUGAAAAUGAAGAUAGGAUUUAAUAGUAAAUUUUGAUUAUAAUGCUAAAU
rnacentral:rRNA from 1 species